rnacentral:rRNA from 1 species
UACGGGGGGGGUAAGCGUUGUUCGGAAUUACUGGGCGUAAAGGGCUCGUAGGCGGCCAACUAAGUCAGACGUGAAAUCCCUCAGCUUAACUGGGGAACUGCGUCUGAUACUGGAUGGCUUGGAUUCGGGAGAGGAAUGCGGAAUUCCAGGUGUAGCGGUGAAAUGCGUAGAUAUCAGGAGGAACACCAGCGGCGAAGGCGGCGCUCUGGGCCGGAACUGACGCUGAGGAGCGAAAGCGUGGGUAGCAAACAGG